UAAAGGAAGCGAUUCCGGCUACGGAUGGUCAUGCGUCGCAUUAGCUAGUUGGCGGGGUAACGGCCCACCAAGGCGACGAUGCGUAGGGGUUCUGAGAGGAAGGUCCCCCACACUGGUACUGAGACACGGACCAGACUCCUACGGGAGGCAGCAGUGAGGAAUAUUGGUCAAUGGCCGCAGGGCUGAACCAGCCAAGUCGCGUGAGGGAUGACGGUCCUAUGGAUUGUAAACCUCUUUUGUCAGGGAGCAAAGGGCGCCACGUGUGGCGCUUUGCGAGUACCUGAAGAAAAAGCAUCGGCUAACUCCGUGCCAGCAGCCGCGGUAAUACGGAGGAUGCGAGCGUUAUCCGGAUUUAUUGGGUUUAAAGGGUGCGCAGGCGGAAUGUCAAGUCAGCGGUAAAAUUUCGGGGCUCAACCCCGUCGUGCCGUUGAAACUGGCGUUCUUGAGUGAGCGAGAAGUAUGCGGAAUGCGUGGUGUAGCGGUGAAAUGCAUAGAUAUCACGCAGAACCCCGAUUGCGAAGGCAGCAUACCGGCGCUCAACUGACGCUCAUGCACGAAAGCGUGGGUAUCGAACAGGAUUAGAUACCCUGGUAGUCCACGCAGUAAACGAUGAAUACUAACUGUCCGGGCAGAAUGAUGCCUGG
rnacentral:rRNA from 1 species